UUUCCUGAUGGCAAUCCAGCGGAUGAAGCUUGGAACCAUUUUUCAGGAGUGAUCCUUCCCUCUGCUUUGACUGCUGCUAUUCUCUUCAUCAUCAUAGUUUUAAUUAUUGUGGGAUUUAUUUGCAGAACACAUCCAGAGAGCGCCUGUUUAAGGUCUGAAACAUCUGGAUCUGAAUCAGCUGUACAUGGAUCUGCCACCACUGUAGUCUGAAACAUCUGGAUCUAAGUCAGCUGUACAUGGAUCUGCCAUCACUGUAGAUGAAGAUAACUCAGAUGAACUGUACAAAGGUCUCCAGCAGCUGACAAACGAUCUCUACCAAACUCUCUCCUCUGGUCACUGGAAGCAUGAAACUGAAACAAACUCAGCCAGGAAGAAAGGAAAUGUUAACCUGGAACAUCUGGAAGCCAACAGCAAUUAUGAAAUCUAUGAAAAACCACCGGUUCAAUAAAAAAAACACCAGUUCAAUCAAAAUCUCUUUAUAUAGCGCCAAUCUGCACAGUGUCUGUUAUCUGUGGUGGGCGAGGGCAUAACGUUGGGUCUACCAUAAAGGGGUUAAGCUGUCUGCUAGUUUAUUUAUUUAUUUAUUGAAUCAUUUGUUGCUGUAAAAGCAUUCAGUAUAAAUCAGCGGUCCUGUAUUACAAAUAGAUUGUAAUCCUUUUACUCUGGUUUACUUAACUUUCCUGUUUUCUUUGUAUUUAGCUAUUAUGCACCUUUUAUUUUCCAUGUCAGUUUAACAGUUAAAAGUCUCACUUUUUCAUCUUUUUGUUUCUAAUUCAAUACGAAAAAUGUUAGAUUUGUGGACUAUUUUAUGACAUUCCAAAAAUUAAGAUAGUCUUUAUUGAUCUCACAUCGGAGAAAUUCACUUGUCAC